UACAAUGUAGUUAAGGAGCUUGCUAGGAAAGGAAGCAAGAGAGUUGCUUACAAAAGAUAUCCCACUGUAUAUAACCUUCUUAGAAAUGAUAAUGACCAGAGAAAAGUAGAAAAAAUGCCAGGAGUCUAUAGAAUCCCAACAGUAAAUAAUACAAAUAAUAGGGAGGAGAUUUAUAUAGGUGUUACCAGAAGACCACUAGAGAUAAGAGUGCAAGACCAUAAGAAAGAUGUAGCUGGGAGAAAGAUGAGCUCAGCACUAGAGAGAAGUGCCUAUGAAAAUGACAUAAGAAUAAAUUGGCAUGAAACCAAAGUCAUUAAAAAGGUAGAGAAGAAGCAUGCUGCC
rnacentral:lncRNA from 1 species